rnacentral:lncRNA from 1 species
ACUGUUUCAAUCUCCUUGGAGGGGUGGCAGGGAACUUCCCCAAAAGUGACUGACAGACGGGCUGCUUGGAGCUCUGAGGGCCUCAAGGAGAGCGGAGGAGGGGCUGCCUUCAGCUGGGAAGGUGAGAGAAGAGCCUGAAGCAGAGGGGGGUCUCCACUACAGACUUUCCAGCUGCUGCUUGGGAACAACUGAUAAGCCAGGAAGGCAGCUGGAGCAUAGGCUGAGAAGCAAAGAGCAGGCUGUGCAAAGAGAUGGGAUCUCCCUGUGUUGCCCAGGGUGGUCUCAAACUCCUGGGCUCAGGUGAUCCUCCCACCUUGGCCUCCCAAAGUGCUGGAAAUUACACAGGUAUGAGACACUGGGACAGGCCCUGAUAAAAUUUUGUUGAGAAUUUUUGUAUCUAUAUUCUUAAAGAAUGCCGAGUUGUCUGUAAUAUUUC